rnacentral:rRNA from 1 species
UACGAAGGGUGCUAGCGUUGUUCGGAAUCACUGGGCGUAAAGCGCGCGUAGGCGGCUACUCAAGUCAGAGGUGAAAGCCCUGGGCUCAACCCAGGAAUUGCCUUUGAAACUGUGUAGCUAGAGUGUCGGAGGGGAUAGCGGAAUUCCUAAUGUAGAGGUGAAAUUCGUAGAUAUUAGGAGGAACACCGGUGGCGAAGGCGGCUAUCUGGACGACAACUGACGCUGAGGCGCGAAAGCGUGGGGAGCAAACAGG